rnacentral:rRNA from 1 species
UACUGGUCAAUGGUCGGGAGACUGGACCAGCCAAGCCGCGUGAGGGAUGAAGGUACAGAGUAUCGUAAACCUCUUUUGUCAGGGAAAUAAGGCGGGGACGCGUCCCCGGAUGAGCGUACCUGAAGAACAAGCAUCGGCUAACUCCGUGCCAGCAGCCGCGGUCAUACGGAGUAUGCGAGCGUUAUCCGGAUUUAUUGGGUUUAAAGGGUGCGCAAGCGGUCUGUUAAGUCAGCGGUCAAAGCCCGGGGCUCAACCCCGGUCCGCCGUUGAAACUGGCAGUCUCGAGUUGGAGAGAAGUAUGCGGAAUGCGCGGUGUAGCGGUGAAAUGCAUAGAUAUCGCGCAGAACUCCGAUUGCGAAGGCAGCAUGCCGGCUCCACACUGACGCUGAGGCACGAAAGCGUGGGUAUCGA